UGCCUUUUAUCCGGGAGGCAAGCCCAGUCAGCCUGAGAAAGUUACACAAACUAGCCUUGGGACUGCAGAUCUGCACUGAGCAACGGAUAGAGAUAGCUUUCAGUGUUUUUAGCAACCAAGACAGGGAAGAGGAAGAGCAAAAAAGCCACCAGAUGGAAACAAAAGGCAUAAUUACUUGAUAGCCGCAGCUUUAAAUCCUUUGCUCGCCCUGUAGACAAGAAGGACACCUAAAGGAGUGCCUACGACUAACUCGGGACAGACUACCUCCAGGACCAUGCCCCAUCUGCACCGGGAAAGGCCUUUGGAAAAGUCCUAGGCUUCUAAGGGAGCUUAGUGCCCCAAACCAAUGAUGUUUAAAACACCUGAGAACUGAUGGUGCCUGAGGCCUCCUACUGCCCCCACCGGCCAUCUGAAACCAUCACACCGGAGGAGUCUCCUGUGACUGAUGUGACAGCCUGAGGAGCAACCAUCCUCUAUGAGUUAAGCAAGAUACACCAUUAAGAAGGAAGACUUGGAACUACAGGGCCUCAACAAAGGAUUUACAGCAACUUUGGGAUGUGAUGGAGAUUUCAACAUGGCUUAUUUUGGCUUCUACUACGUCAAAAGCAUUGUUCCUAUCUAUAAGGUUCCAACCUUGGAGUUUUUGAGAAAAUUUGGGAUUGGUCUUCUAGUGGGCACAAUAGCCUCAAUCAUUAACAUCCCAUUUUUUGUUGCCAAAAGUAGAAUUCAAGGGCUUCAGCCAGUUAAUAGAGAGAUCAAUACAGAGCCUGUUUUAAAACAAUGGCAGCAGUCUAUCAGGAAGAAAGGAUUUUAGCUUUGUUCAAAGGCCUGCUUCCCAGGAUUAUGAGACUUUGACCAGUGGUGUAGUGAUGCUGCUGGUUUAUGAAUGCAGCCAUUCAUGGCUUCAGGAGAACUUGUGAUUGCCUAUGAAGUAUAUUUACCCCUUGAGAUAAUGCACAUUUUCUCUACAGUACCUUGAGACUAUUAAUCAGCUAAGCUGAUGCAAUUAUAAAUUAUACAAUCCUAUAUAAUAAAAGUGUAAUAUGCUAAGUGUCUGACUGGACGACCAUUUGGUCAACCGCUUGACCAGUCACUAUGAUGUGCACUGACCACCAGGGGGCAGACACUCAGACUGGUAGGUUAGCUUGCUGCUGGGGUCCGGCCAAUUGGGACUGGGCGAGAGGGCUGGACAUGCCCUAGAGCCCUCCUGCAGUCCUUGAUUGGCCCUGAUUGGGACUGGGCAAGAUGGCCUCGAUUGGCCCCAAUCGCUGGCCAGGCCAAGGGACCCCACCCAUGCACGAAUUCAUGCACCGGGCCUCUAGUUACAUAUAAUUAUAAAAUGAAAAAAAUUAAGAACAAAACUUAUUUUGAUACUUCAAAAAUUAUCUCUAGCCCGGCCGGUGUGGCUCAAUAGUUAAGCAUCAACCCAUGAACCAGGAGCUCACGGUUAGAUUCCCAGUCAGGGCACAUGCCUGGCUUGUGGAUUUGAUUCCCAGUAGGGGGCAUUUAUGAUUCUCUCCCUCUCCCUUCCUCUCUCUGAAAUCAACAAAAAUAUAUAUUUAAAAAAAUUAUCUCUAGACAAUUUGAGGCUGUAGUUAUGGCUAUAUGUGUCAUAAAAUUGUAAGAAGAAGAAUAUGAAACCAUGAGGUAUGUAAACUGAAUAUAGAAAAAUAGUAUAGAACUCAGAUAUGUUUCAUAAAAGCAAUAUAAAUUUUGUGACAUGUUUUAAUUACACUGCUUCACAAUAAAAAUUCAUUGUAUUAAUAAUCGUUUUUUCCCAAGAGGCCAAGAAAUGCUUAAAGGAAAAAAAAGCCAAAAUUUAAACAGUUUUUAUCAGAAUAAACUCUUCCAUAAAUAAUAUUUUUGGAAGAUAAUAUUAUUUUUUGUUUAAGAAGAUAUUUUUAUUUUUUAAAUUUUUUUUUUUAUUGAUUUCAGAGAGGAAAAAGGAGGGAGAGAGAGACAGAAACAUCAAUGAUGAGAGAGAAUCAUGGGUCAGCUGCCUCCUGCAUGCCCCCCGCAUGGGAUCGAGCCUGCAACCCAGGCAUGUGCCCUGCCCAGGAAUUGAACUGUGACCUCAUGAUUCAUACAUAGGUCGACACUCAAUCACUGAGCCACACCGGCUGGGCAAGAAGAUAUUUUUAAAAUGCACUAAAAUGGCCUUUUAAAAAUGUUGACUUUGAUGUUAAAAUGUAAAUUUGUUUGGUUUUCUAGUAAUAAUACACAUCUCAGCUUUAUUUUCCUAAAUCUACUUUAUAGUUUGCACUAUUGUUUAAAGCAGGCCAUACUUUGAAAUCCUGACAUUUAAAGUCUAUUAUGACAAAUAGAAAAUGUGAAGUUAACAAAACAACAAGAAAGCCCACUGCGUGGGAAAACAUAUUUGCUAAUGUCAUAUCUGAUAAGGGCUUAAUCUCCAAAAUUUAUAGGGAACUCAUACAACUUAACAAAAGGAAGAUAAACAAUCCAAUCAAAAAAUGGGCAAAGGACCUAAAUAGACACCUUUCAAAAGAGGACAUUCAGAAAGCCAAGAGACAUACGAAAACAUGCUCAAAGUCACUAAUCAUCCGAGAGAUGCAAAUCAAAACAACAAUGAGGUACCAUCUCACACCUGUCAGACUGGCUAUCAUCAACAAAUCAACAAACGACAAGUGCUGGAGAGGAUGUGGAGAAAAAGGAACACUCGUGCACUGCAGGUGGGAAUGCAGACUGGUGCAGCCACUAUGGAAGACAGUAUGGAGUUUCCUCAAAAAACUAAAACUGGAACUCCCAUUUGACCCUGUGAUCUCACUUCUAGGAAUAUAUUCCAAGAAAACAGAAACACCAAUCAGAAAGGAUAUAUGCCCCCCUAUGUUCAUAGCAGCACAAUUCACCAUAGCUAAGAUCCGGAAACAGCCUAAGUGCCCAUCAGUAGAUGAAUGGAUUAGAAAACUGUGGUACAUCUACACGAUGGAAUACUAUGCUGCUGUAAAAAAAAAAAGGAACUCUUACCAUUUGCAACGGCAUGGAUGGAACUGGAGAG